AUGAUAUGGACAACCGCCACCAUCAACGAUGAGAAACUAAAGAAGAUAGAAAAUAUGAGGAGCUUCCUCCUAAAGAAGUUUCACCAGAUAUUCUUGUUCCCGGGCCGAAAUGAGAAGGAUUAUGAAGAUCCAGACAAGGACCCGGCAAUGAAGAAGAUAAACAAACACGCCAUGACCAAGUUUAGCGACGCGUUGGCCGCCUGGAAAAAUCGAGUGAAAGCAAAGAUCAACGACGGGGAACCCUACUCCGAGAUUGUAAAGGAUAAUUCAACAAUCACGGAAGAGCAUUUACAAAUAUUGAAGGAGGCUUGCGAGGCCGAAGCUGCCAAAAAAAUGUCUAAGUACAUGAAGGGGCUUCAAAAGAGGAACAUUGGGACCCACCACCUCGGAAGCCGUGGUUACGGCGGAAAGAGGUCCAAAUGGGCCAAGAAGGACGCGAAAGCCGCGAGUCUGGGCAUCCUAGACCCCUUGGCGGAUUUCACCAUCCCGCAGGAGCGUGAUGUCCUGAGGGCCCGGCACCGUUGGGACCCAGUGAAGAAGGUUUACGAGACAACACCGGUCAUUAUGGAGUUCAUGAGACUGCUGGUAAUUUUAGUUUCUGAUCAAAUUCGACUGCACACGUUAGUCAUAUUUGUAAACGAUCCUAGUGCCUUUUGCAGAGAGAGCAGCACCGGAUUGCGGCCGAAAGCAACUCGCCGUCUGAGGCAUUGGCGAGGCCCAAGUGCCACUCCAUUCAACCGAGCAUUGAACAUAUUGAAACAACAACCGGUGGAUACUCGACCGUCGUAUGGACGCGUGCAGGGUGUCGGAGACGGCGCCACGUGGAAGAAGUACUACCGUGAGACCACGGAGGAGAAAAAGGAAAGACGGAGGUUAACUGAAGAAAGCAUCGACAAGAAGGUUGAGAUUACGGUUGAGAAGAAAUCAUCUCAGACAGUCGCAACAGCGGUAGCUGCCGCAAAACAGGCGAUUGCAGAUAUAUCUACUUCCUUGGUGACGGGCGUUUACACUUGGACAAGGCAAAAUCCAGAAAAAAAAUGCAGAGGACUUUCCCCUUGCUAA
rnacentral:rRNA from 1 species